CUCUUUUUGAAUAUAAUUUAAAGUAGGGCCUGCCCACUGAAUUUUGAAGGGCCGCAGUAUCUUGACUGUGCAAAGGUAGCAUAAUCAUUAGUUUUUUAAUUGAAAGCUUGUAUGAAUGGUUUGAUGAAAAAAUUUCUGUUUCAGUUUUAAUUUUUAGAAUUUUAUUUUUAAGUUAAAAAGCUUAAAUUUUAUUUAAAGACGAGAAGACCCUAUAGAGUUUGACUUAGGAUUUUAUUUGAAAUUUUAGAAUUUAAAUAAUUAGAUUAAAUUUAAGUUUUGUUGGGGUGACAGAAAAAUUUAUUAAACUUUUUUUUUAUUUAAACAAGAAUUAUUGAUUUUUUGAUCCAUUAAUAUGAUUAAAAGAUUAAAUUACCUUAGGGAUAACAGCGUAAUUUUUUUUAAAAGUUCUUAUUUAAAAAAAAGGUUGCGACCUCGAUGUUGGAUUAAAAUUAAUUUUUGGUGAAGGAGCUAAAAAAUUAGGUCUGUUCGACCUUUGAAAUUUUACAUGAUCUGAGUUUAAACCGGUGUGAGCCAGGUUGGUUUCUAUCUUAAAUAAAUGUAGUAUUUUAGUACGAAAGGAUCAAAUAUUAUAUUAAUAAUAUAAAAUUAAGAAUUUUACUUUGGCAGAGUAGUGCGUUGGAUUUAGAAUCUUUUUAAGUAUUUAAUUACAAGUAAAAAUUGAUUUAAUUUUAAUUUUAAUUAAUUUUUUAUUGUUAUUUAUUGGAGUUUUAGUAGGGGUGGCAUUUUUAACUUUGCUAGAGCGUAAAUUAUU
rnacentral:rRNA from 1 species